rnacentral:lncRNA from 1 species
AUAAAAAAUAUAGAAGUUGUUUUAAGUCGUACGGUCUUCACCGCUAGACGCGUUUUUUUGGAUGACACAACUUUCUACUCUUGAUGGUUGAUUUGUGGAUCACGUAUGAUGUAUUCACAUAUGUCUGAGUGAGUCACGCGCCAAUUCAGGUAUUAUAUGCAUUUGGUUCCAAGAGACCCCUCAGAAUAUACUCCUCAUACUAUAUGAUCUCCAUAAAUGUAAAUGUCAUGUAUGAUGAUUUCCUUAAUCAUCUGGUACAGACUGAAACACGAGGUAUCGUAGCUCCCAAAGAAUGGAGUUGUGCAUUCGACUAUGUCCAAUGGUAUUUUAGAGUGUCACAUUCUUACAUGACACCAUAUGUUGAGGGAGAGUCACCUAGGUCAGCUUAUCAGGAGAUAUUAGAGAAGGGGCAGACUAGGGCAGAUCAUGUUGUUGAUGUGUUUCCUGCAUGUCAUCGUAUUAUGGAUUUUUUGGGAGAGGGUAUAGAUAGAGGAAACUUUCUGUAAGGCACUUCUGGGAGGACCAUUGUAGAUUCCAUUCUUAAUGAGACACGAAUGGCAUUAAUACAGGAGGCAUCGAAGGAACAUGAGGGUCUGACAUACAUAUUAGUAUAGUAUUUGUAUUAGCGAUUAUGGAUAGUAUUAUCGUUUGUUAUUUUAUUAUUUUGACAGUAUUAUGAAUUUUGGAUUGAUUCAUUUAUAUAUGGUAUUUUCAUCUUA